rnacentral:rRNA from 1 species
UCCUCCUAAAGAGUAACGGAGGAGCACGAAGGUUGGCUAAUCCUGGUCGGACAUCAGGAGGUUAGUGCAAUGGCAUAAGCCAGCUUGACUGCGAGCGUGACGGCGCGAGCAGGUGCGAAAGCAGGUCAUAGUGAUCCGGUGGUUCUGAAUGGAAGGGCCAUCGCUCAACGGAUAAAAGGUACUCCGGGGAUAACAGGCUGAUACCGCCCAAGAGUUCAUAUCGACGGCGGUGUUUGGCACCUCGAUGUCGGCUCAUCACAUCCUGGGGCUGAAGUAGGUCCCAAGGGUAUGGCUGUUCGCCAUUUAAAGUGGUACGCGAGCUGGGUUUAGAACGUCGUGAGACAGUUCGGUCCCUAUCUGCCGUGGGCGCUGGAGAACUGAGGGGGGCUGCUCCUAGUACGAGAGGACCGGAGUGGACGCAUCACUGGUGUUCGGGUUGUCAUGCCAAUGGCACUGCCCGGUAGCUAAAUGCGGAAGAGAUAAGUGCUGAAAGCAUCUAAGCACGAAACUUGCCCCGAGAUGAGUUCUCCCUGAGACUUAGAGUCUCCUGAAGGAACGUUGAAGACGACGACGUUGAUAGGCCGGGUGUGUAAGCGCAGCGAUGCGUUGAGCUAACCGGUACUAAUGAACCGUGAGGCUUAACCUUACAACGCCG